rnacentral:rRNA from 1 species
UUCUGUCUCAGAUAGCCAUGCAUGUCUGAGUAUAAAUGCUAUACAGUAAAACUGCGAAUGGCUCAUUAAAACAUGUUAUAGUUUACAUGGUAAUCGAAUUUACAUGGAUAACCGUGGUAAUUCUAGAGCUAAUACAUGCUGUUAGGCCCGACUUUUCGGAAGGGCCGUAUUUAUUAGAUAACAGACCAAUAUUCCUCGUGUCUAUUGUGGUGAAUCAUAGUAACUUGUCGGAUCGCAUGGGCUUGUCCCGCGACAAACCAUUCAAGUUUCUGCCCCAUCAGCUUUCGAUGGUAGUGUAUUGGACUACCAUGGCUUUUACGGGUAACGGGGGAUUAGGGUUCGAUUCCGGAGAGGGAGCCUGAGAAACGGCUACCACAUCUAAGGAAGGCAGCAGGCGCGUAAAUUACCUAAUCCUAAUUCAGGGAGGUAGUGACAAGAAAUAACGGGUCGGGGGCAACCCCGGGACUGCAAUGAGAUGAAUUUACACCCCUUUUCGAGGA